rnacentral:rRNA from 1 species
UACGUAGGGGGCAAGCGUUGUCCGGAUUUAUUGGGCGUAAAGAGCGUGUAGGCGGCCAGACAGGUCUGCUGUGAAAACUCGAGGCUCAACCUCGAGACGCCGGUGGAAACCGUCUGGCUAGAGUCCGGAAGAGGAGAGUGGAAUUCCUGGUGUAGCGGUGAAAUGCGCAGAUAUCAGGAAGAACACCCGUGGCUAAGGCGGCUCUCUAGUACGGUACUGACGCUGAGACGCGAAAGCGUGGGGAGCAAACAGG